rnacentral:rRNA from 1 species
UACAGAGGUCUCAAGCGUUGUUCGGAUUCAUUGGGCGUAAAGGGUGCGUAGGUGGCGGGGUAAGUCAGGUGUGAAAUCCCGGGGCUCAACCCCGAAACUGCACUUGAUACUGCCUUGCUCGAGUACUGGAGAGGAGAUUGGAAUUUACGGUGUAGCAGUGAAAUGCGUAGAUAUCGUAAGGAAGACCAGUGGCGAAGGCGAAUCUCUGGACAGUUACUGACACUGAGGCACGAAGGCCAGGGGAGCAAACGGG